UUUUUUUUUCGAAAUAGUUUUGAUUCCGCUGCGUAUUAUAAAUUUUGUUGAGAAAAUGCUGUUAAUCGCGAAAAUUGUCUAACAAACGAUGCCGUUUGAGUUGUUUCCAUCGAGUCGUACGGAUAGAGGGAAAAGAAAGCGGGAGCGGGGAGAACACGCCGAUUACGAUGCCGCCGCCGCUGCCGGGAACCAGAAGGAGACGGUGGCGGAGAGAGGAAAUGAGAGGGAGAUGACGUCGGAUGAAGAGGUGGAGGAGUUCUUCGCCAUUUUGAAGCGAUUACACGCGGCGACGAAAUACAUAGAGAAGAUCGAUGGUGCGAGAAGCUUGUUGAUGGGGAAAAGAGCGAAGACGGCGAAGGCGAGCGAGAAAGAAGGCGAUGGAGUUGAAAUUAGAACAAAGAGAAUUCCAGAUCAGAAAUUGGACAGAAAUUUGGAUCUGGAUCUGAACUUAGAACCUACUUGCGUUGAAUCGGACGGUAAGGAGAGGAGAAGCCGGAGCCACAAUCUGAAGUCGUUAACUGGCGAUUCGGCUGCCGAUUCUCGUCGGAAGUAGAGAUUUACGGCGGAGAUUACAGUUUGGCUGUCCCUGGAAGAACUCGAUCGCUCCGAUCAUGCGGACUGAUGAACUGAUAUUGGAGCCUUCUGGUUGCGGAUCCGGGAGAAGACGGUUGGUUUCAUUGAUUCCUAGUAGGAUUGGGACGAAAGAGAAUCGAAUCAAGGCUAGAUUGGGAUCACAUGGACCUCGAGAGGGCAAGACGUUUCAAGGUGGGUCGACCAAGCUUAGGUUCAAGCUGUUAGAUGAACACGACUCUCCACAAUGGUAUGAUAUUGUCCACUUUGAGCAUAAGCUCUCGUGACUUUGCUUUGGG